rnacentral:rRNA from 1 species
UGUAUUCCAAAAGUGAGAGGAGGCAAGGGACUCCGUGAUAUACAUAGUUUCAACUAGGCAAUGCUGGCCAAGCAAUGUUGAAGACUUAUUGAUAACUAUGGUUCUUUGUUUGCAUGAAUGUUAAGAGCAAGGUAUUACCCUACAUGAGACAUCUUGAACUAUUAACUGAAGAAGGGGUCGUCUUAUGUAUGGAAAAGUAUUUGGGCCGGCAUCUAAACGUUCAACAAGGGAUGUAUUUGGAGAGUAGGAAAUGGAGAAAAGAUCAAUAUUUGGACAUGCUGCUAGAUUCCGAACAGUGCUUCAAAGAAAAUUAUUACAGUUCGGAGAAACCAAAUACUCAUGAAAGUUGGAGAGUUAAUUGAUCCAAUAAAGGGAGAGUGGCACAAGAUGCUAGUCUGGGAAAAUUUCUAGCCAAUUGAUGCAGAUCGCAUACUUAAGAUUUCGUUAUUUCAUGAGGAGAUGAACGAUUAUAUAGCAUGGCAUCUCACAAAGAGUGGAGUUUUUUUCGGUACGUUUGGCUUAUUACAAGCAAUGCGAAGCAAACUAUGGUCAAGAGAAGACUGGGUUGGCUCGCUACUCCACGACAUCCCAUCUAGUUUGGAAGAAAUGAUGGAAUAUGAAAGUAGCAGCCAAAGUGAAAAUCUUCAUAUGGAGGUGUCUUCACAAUGCCAUUCCGUGCUACUAUGUUCUUAUGAAUCGCCACAUCGGACAAGUUUCUCAAUGCCUUCUCUGUCAAGCCGGUGUGGAACUGUUGGUGCAAUAUCUGCCUACCUUGUGUUUUGGAGAUUGUUGACAGAAACAGGUAUGGACUGA